rnacentral:lncRNA from 1 species
AAGACANNNNNNNNNNCACCAGCAUGGCACAUGUAUACAUAUGUAACUAACCUGCACAAUGUGCACAUGUACCCUAAAACUUAAAGCUAAACAUGCAUCAGCAACAAAAAUAGCAAGUGAGAUAAAUCCUUCUAGGAUAGCAUUUACCAAACCAAUGUUCUAUAGAGCCCCAUCCUGAGAGAACGUUAAUAGAUUCUGUUUUAAAAUAAGUGUUGGGUGUGUGUGUGUGUGUGUGCAUGCAUGUGUGUGUAUUCUGCAGUUCAAUACAUUUUUGGAAAUGCUUCUUAACCGAAUUCUCAUUUUGGAGAGUCACAGUGUAUGUAACGCAUAUUAAAGACUCUGAGAAGUACUGCUGUAAAUGAAUCUGUUUAAUUUUGUUUAACCCAGUACAUCCCAGACUGGUUUGACCAGGGAACACUUUUCUGUAUGGAAAACACUUUUUGCCUCUUGCAGAUACAGUCUGGGGAACUGCUGCUAAAAAAAAUAAUAAAAUAAAAAAUAAAAAAAU